GGCUCUGCGCGGGGGCAGUAUUGUAGCCAACGAGGUUUAUCCGAGGCGCAAUUAUUGCUAAUUGAAAACGCUUCUCAUUUUGUAAUUUCUGAAUUAUGUAAAUAU
rnacentral:snRNA from 1 species